rnacentral:rRNA from 1 species
CCUCCUUUUACCAUGCACCCCAAGGGGGGUAAGGGAUUUUUGAAAGAAGUGCCACUAAACCCUCCUUAUUGUAAUGAUUUCCUUCCCCCGCGGGAAAACUAGGGUAAAGUUCAUCCCCCAAAUAUUUUCCUUUUUUUUCCCCUUUUCCAAUUUUUUUAAAAAAACCCCCCGGGCCUUUCUAACCAAAAAACCCCGCGACGGGUGAGAACAACACACGAGGGGCCCCAAAACGUUUUCCGGCUAUUUUUUUAAACUUUCCCCCCUUUUCGGCAAAAAUAAAAAAACUCUUUUCUAUAAUAUGAUUGUCUGAAAAUGUUAGAGAAUUUACUAAAUUCUAAAACAUAACUUUCAACAACGGAUCUCUUGGCUCUCGCAUCGAUGAAGAACGCAGCGAAAUGCGAUACGUAAUGUGAAUUGCAGAAUUCAGUGAAUCAUCGAAUCUUUGAACGCAUAUUGCGCUCUUUGGUAUUCCGAAGAGCAUGCUUGUUUGAGUAUCAGUAAACACCUCAACCAAAAUUCUAUUUUUUGAAUUUUGGAUGGAUUUGAGCAAACCCAACGGCAAAUGCGCCUAGCAAAUGCGGCGGGUUGCUUGAAAUGCAGGUGCAGCUGUGACAAGAACAGACUGAGCUAAAAGCAUAUCUAUUUAGUCCGUUUCGGCGGAUUAUUUCUAAUUUGCUGCAGCUACUCUAAGGUCCUCUUGUGUGAGCUGACUGAUGCAGGAUUUUGUUAGAAGGCCUUGGUCUCUUCAAAAACUCGAUCUCAAAUCAAGAGACCC